AGGACGAACGCUGGCGGCGUGCCUAACACAUGCAAGUCGAACGAGGUCCAUCCAGUGGCAACACUGGUGAAGACCUAGUGGCGAACGGGUGAGUAACACGUGAGAAACCUACCCCGAAGACCGGGAUAACUCUCCGAAAGGAGUGCUAAUACCGGAUACCCCCAACUGAUCGCAUGAUCGGAUGAGGAAAUGGAUUCCGCUUCGGGAGGGUCUCGCGGCCUAUCAGCUAGUUGGUGAGGUAACGGCUCACCAAGGCGUCGACGGGUAGCUGGUCUGAGAGGACGAUCAGCCACACUGGGACUGAGACACGGCCCAGACUCCUACGGGAGGCAGCAGUGGGGAAUCUUGCGCAAUGGGCGAAAGCCUGACGCAGCAACGCCGCGUGGGGGAUGAAGGCUCUCGGGUUGUAAACCCCUUUCAGUAGGGACGAAAUCAGACGGUACCUACAGAAGAAGCCCGGCCAACUACGUGCCAGCAGCCGC
rnacentral:rRNA from 1 species